rnacentral:rRNA from 1 species
UACGGGGGGGGCAAGCGUUGUUCGGAAUUACUGGGCGUAAAGGGCUCGUAGGCGGCCAACUAAGUCGGAUGUGAAAUCCCCAGGCUUAACCUGGGAACUGCAUCCGAUACUGGAUGGCUUGAAUCCGGGAGGGGGAUGCAGAAUUCCAGGUGUAGCGGUGAAAUGCGUAGAGAUCGGGAGGAACACCUGUGGCGAAAGCGGCGCACUGGACCAUAACUGACGCUGAUGCACGAAAGCUAGGGGAGCAAACAGG